UCCCCCACCGGCCGCUGACUGGCUGGCCUUUCCCAAGACAGGAAGCCGCCAGAAACGGAUGUUUGAAAGCAGCCAGGCAGAGAGGAGGUGAAACCGCGUCCCUGGCUCUCCACGGAGGGCGAGCGGUGCUCUGGACAGGACCCAGAGGGACCCUUUCUGGGUUUGCCUGCACGGGAACCAGCAGGGUUACGUCCGGAGUCUGCACACGGGCGAGGCGGGCUGGCCAGCUGCAGUCGCUCCCAGCACCAGGACUGUCUGUGCCGCCACACAGCGCCCUCCGCCCACGUCCCAGCGAGCGGCCAGUGUCCUCAGAGAGCAGAAACGCCGCAGGGAGCAGGGCAAAUUCCCACAGCAGGGUGCAUGAAGGAUCGAGAUGCAGCGGGGAAGGAUCAAGGCCAAUGACCACGCCAGCCUGCUAGGUGACGACCAGAAUCCCAAAGGGCUUUCUUACGGGAGUCUGAUCCAGGAGCCUGCCGAAGCCUCAGAGGUAGGCAGAGAGCUGGGGAGAGGGGGCCAGUCCCUGCCCCGGCGAGAAGUUCCUACUGCCGGAGGGUGGGGGAGGAAGGCAGCCAGUGUGGGAGGCAG